UCCCUGGUGGCUCAGAUGGUAAAGAAUCUGCCUGCAAUGCAGAAGACCUGGGUUCAAUUCCUGGGUUGGGAA
rnacentral:tRNA from 1 species